CCUACGGGUGGCAGCAGUGAGGAAUAUUGGUCAAUGGACGAGAGUCUGAACCAGCCAAGUAGCGUGAAGGAUGACUGCCCUAUGGGUUGUAAACUUCUUUUAUAUGGGAAUAAAACGUUCCACGUGUGGGAUUUUGUAUGUACCAUAUGAAUAAGGAUCGGCUAACUCCGUGCCAGCAGCCGCGGUAAUACGGAGGAUCCGAGCGUUAUCCGGAUUUAUUGGGUUUAAAGGGAGCGUAGGUGGAUUGUUAAGUCAGUUGUGAAAGUUUGCGGCUCAACCGUAAAAUUGCAGUUGAAACUGGCAGUCUUGAGUACAGUAGAGGUGUGCGGAAUGCGUGGUGUAGCGGUGAAAUGCUUAGAUAUCACGAAGAACUCCGAUUGCGAAGGCAGUUCACUGGACUGCAACUGACACUGAGGCUCGAAAGUGUGGGUAUCAAACAGGAUUAGAUACCCCUGUAGUC
rnacentral:rRNA from 1 species